UGCAAGUCGAGCGGAACGAGUUAUCUGAACCUUCGGGGGACGAUAACGGCGUCGAGCGGCGGACGGGUGAGUAAUGCCUAGGAAAUUGCCCUGAUGUGGGGGAUAACCAUUGGAAACGAUGGCUAAUACCGCAUGAUGCCUACGGGCCAAAGAGGGGGACCUUCGGGCCUCUCGCGUCAGGAUAUGCCUAGGUGGGAUUAGCUAGUUGGUGAGGUAAGGGCUCACCAAGGCGACGAUCCCUAGCUGGUCUGAGAGGAUGAUCAGCCACACUGGAACUGAGACACGGUCCAGACUCCUACGGGAGGCAGCAGUGGGGAAUAUUGCACAAUGGGCGCAAGCCUGAUGCAGCCAUGCCGCGUGUAUGAAGAAGGCCUUCGGGUUGUAAAGUACUUUCAGUCGUGAGGAAGGCG
rnacentral:rRNA from 1 species